AUUGAACGCUAGCGGCAUGCUUUACACAUGCAAGUCGAACGGCAGCGCGGGCUUCGGCCGGGCGGCGAGUGGCGAACGGGGGAGUAAUGCAUCUGAACGUGCCCAGUAGUGGGGGAGAGCCCGGCGAAAGCCGGAUUAAUACCGCAGACGACCUGAGGGUGAAAGCGGGGGACCGAAAGGCCUCGCGCGAGGGGGGCGGCCGAUGUCGGAUUGGCUAGUUGGUGGGGUAAAGGGUUACCAAGGCGACGAUCCGUAGCUGGUCUGAGAGGAGGAGCAGCCACACUGGGACUGAGACAGGGCCCAGACUCCUGAGGGAGGCAGCAGUGGGGAAUUUUGGACAAUGGGGGCAACCAUGAUACAGCCAUGGCGAGCGCGGGAAGACGGCCUUCGGGUUGUAAACCGGUUUUGUUCGGGAAGAAAUCCUCUGGGCUAAUACCACGGGGGGAUGACGGUACCGGAAGAAUAAGCACCGGCUAACUACGUG
rnacentral:rRNA from 1 species